rnacentral:misc_RNA from 1 species
GUGAAUCAUCGAAUUUUUGAACGCAAAUUGCGCCUCCUUCGGAAGGCAUGUCCGUUUGAGGGCACCAUUUAACAAAUACUGUGCCGCGUCUUUUGUUGCACACGUUGAUGAGCUUUCCAAGAAUUUUAAAUUUUUGGUGGCGCAUAAUGAACAGCGUGAAGCUUUUUUUUCAGUUCGAGUGUAUUAAAAUCUUUGCUUGGGUUGUG